AUGGUGUACAUAUGUGUUUUCUUGUUUAAUGACUGUAUAACUUUCAGAUGGUACUCCCUGCAUUGCUGUCAGGCACAAUUCCAAAGUCAUGACCUCAGGGAAACAGCAAAGCAAGAAGGCCUUGAUAAUCAAAUUUAUCCUACAGGGAAGCAACUUAAAAGCUCUGCUAGCGACUAGCAGUUAGUUCAAGGCUUUGAUAAAGGAAAAGGUCUAGACACUUAAAUACCUACUGUAUGAAACACACUUUAGAAAAAUGUCAUUCCCUUCGUUCAUCUGACCACGGGAGUUAGGAAAAAUGAUUUGAUUAACUGAAAAUUGUGGGACCAGUUUAAGUGACUUCCAUUUUUUUUUCUGACAGUG
rnacentral:lncRNA from 1 species